CCUACGGGAGGCAGCAGUGAGGAAUAUUGGUCAAUGGACGAGAGUCUGAACCAGCCAAGUAGCGUGAAGGAUGACUGCCCUAUGGGUUGUAAACUUCUUUUAUAUGGGAAUAAAACGUUCCACGUGUGGGAUUUUGUAUGUACCAUAUGAAUAAGGAUCGGCUAACUCCGUGCCAGCAGCCGCGGUAAUACGGAGGAUACGAGCGUUAUCCGGAUUUAUUGGGUUUAAAGGGAGCGUAGGUGGAUUGUUAAGUCAGUUGUGAAAGUUUGCGGCUCAACCGUAAAAUUGCAGUUGAAACUGGCAGUCUUGAGUACAGUAGAGGUGGGCGGAAUUCGUGGUGUAGCGGUGAAAUGCGUAGAUAUCACGAAGAACUCCGAUUGCGAAGGCAGUUCACUGGACUGCAACUGACACUGAGGCUCGAAAGUGUGGGUAUCAAACAGGAUUAGAUACCCUAGUAGUC
rnacentral:rRNA from 1 species